UGGGGAAUAUUGCACAAUGGGGGAAACCCUGAUGCAGCGACGCCGCGUGAAGGAUGAAGUAUUUCGGUAUGUAAACUUCUAUCAGCAGGGAAGAAAAUGACGGUACCUGACUAAGAAGCCCCGGCUAACUACGUGCCAGCAGCCGCGUGACU
rnacentral:rRNA from 1 species